UGCAGCUCCGUCAAAUUCAGUCCCCGCCUCCUUCGUGGCGGAGACCGGCCAGACGGCUGGCCCAGCCACAUC
rnacentral:snoRNA from 1 species